rnacentral:rRNA from 1 species
UUCCAGACUCCUACGGGAGGCAGCAGUGGGGAAUAUUGCACAAUGGGGGAAACCCUGAUGCAGCGACGCCGCGUGAGUGAAGAAGUAUUUCGGUAUGUAAAGCUCUAUCAGCAGGGAAGAUAAUGACGGUACCUGAGUAAGAAGCCCCGGCUAACUACGUGCCAGCAGCCGCGGUAAUACGUAGGGGGCAAGCGUUAUCCGGAUUUACUGGGUGUAAAGGGAGCGUAGACGGCAUGGCAAGUCUGAAGUGAAAGCCCGGGGCUCAACCGCGGGACUGCUUUGGAAACUGUUAAGCUGGAGUACAGGAGAGGUAAGCGGAAUUCCUAGUGUAGCGGUGAAAUGCGUAGAUAUUAGGAGGAACACCAGUGGCGAAGGCGGCUUACUGGACUGUAACUGACGUUGAGGCUCGAAAGCGUGGGGAGCAAACAGGAUUAGAUACCCCGGUA